rnacentral:miRNA from 1 species
UGCGUGCGUGUCUCCCGUCCAG